AUAUGUACCUGCCAGGAGAGAUUCCAUGACCACAAAGGUUGUUUUCUAAGAGUGAGACUUCACUGUCGCCUCCAAUAUGCUGUUUCCUGUGAUUUCCCGAAAUGUGGGAAACUUGAUUGCAUAAUUUACAGCAGUAGGGGCCUGAGUUUGCACUCUCCCCUA
rnacentral:snRNA from 1 species